AUUGAACGCUGGCGGCAGGCCUAACACAUGCAAGUCGAACGGUAACAUUUCUAGCUUGCUAGAAGAUGACGAGUGGCGGACGGGUGAGUAAUGCUUGGGAACUUGCCUUUGGGAGGGGGAUAACAGUUGGAAACGACUGCUAAUACCGCAUAACGUCUACGGACCAAAGGGGGCUUAGGCUCCUACCUGAAGAGAGGCCCAAGUGAGAUUAGCUAGUUGGUGGGGUAAAGGCUCACCAAGGCGACGAUCUCUAGCUGUUCUGAGAGGAAGAUCAGCCACACUGGGACUGAGACACGGCCCAGACUCCUACGGGAGGCAGCAGUGGGGAAUAUUGCACAAUGGGGGAAACCCUGAUGCAGCCAUGCCGCGUGUGUGAAGAAGGCCUUCGGGUUGUAAAGCACUUUCAGUUUGUGAGGAAAGGUUGGUAGUUAAUACCUGCCAGCUGUGACGUUAACAACAGAAGAAGCA
rnacentral:rRNA from 1 species